rnacentral:rRNA from 1 species
CCUACGGGAGGCAGCAGUAGGGAAUCUACCGCAAUGGACGAAAGUCUGACGGAGCAACGCCGCGUGAGUGAUGAAGGCAUUCGGGUCGUAAAACUCUGUUGUUAGGGUAGAACAAGUACGAGAGUAACUGCUUGUACCUUGACGGUACGUAACCAAGAAAGCCAGGGCUAACUACGUGCCAGCAGCCGCGGUAAU